UCCUCCUGCUUCUUUUCUUGUUCUUUUUCUAGUCACUGUGUAUGAAAAUGAAAAUAAGACAUUUGUCUCAGAGACCUUACUGCAGUGGAGUGCUACUGAGAGAGGCUGGGAAAAGAGGGGUAGACUGCCACUUAUCAGAUCUCCUAGCUCAGGCAGUGUGAGGACCAUUCAACCCGUUAGUUAUUCGUGGGCUGACUUGGAUCGGACUGGACACCACUCCAACAGGGCGCUUCGAAACAGACUUAUGACGAGACCCAGAGCACUCAAUGAAGCCAGAGCAAGGCACCAUCACACCACUCUGAGAAUGACCAGCAUCUAAACCCUCUGGAUCUCACUGAAGAAGAGGUUAAAGGAGAUGGGGCACUUCGGGACCCCCAGGAUUUAUCCUUAAUCCAGUCAUGCAGGAUCAAGGCAGAGGGGAAAGAGCUGUGCUAACAUCAGUGGUUUUCAGUCAUUCAAAAAAUAUGUUUUUGAACAAAAAUGAUGUUGACUGUAAAAGAGACAAUCCAACAAACUCUAUGUUCCGCCCCAAAUCCUGAAUAAUGUAGUUGGAGGUAGUGCAUGUAUUUUGGUGCUGAGUUACAUCAUUGUGUAGUUUGUUUGAUACAGUAUGUGCGUAUUUAAAAUAUGUGGAGUGUUUUGUUGGAAUUCAUGUGUUCUAAUAUUGAUUGUCACAAGUUGUCAUCAUAUCGGCAUGUGUUUAUUGGCUAUAUUAACCCUGCUCACUGCUCUUCCUUAUAUUACACCACCAUU